rnacentral:rRNA from 1 species
UACCAGCACCCCCGAGUGGUCGGGACGUUUUAUUGGGCCUAAAGCAUCCGUAGCCGGUUCUACAAGUCUUCCGUUAAAUCCAACUGCUUAACAGGUGGGCUGCGGAAGAUACUAUAGAGCUAGGAGGCGGGAGAGGCAAGCGGUACUCGAUGGGUAGGGGUAAAAUCCGUUGAUCCAUUGAAGACCACCAGUGGCGAAGGCGGCUUGCCAGAACGCGCUCGACGGUGAGGGAUGAAAGCUGGGGGAGCAACCGG